GACGAACGCUGGCGGCGUGCUUAACACAUGCAAGUCGAACGGAAAGGCCCUGCUUUUGUGGGGUGCUCGAGUGGCGAACGGGUGAGUAACACGUGAGUAACCUGCCCUUGACUUUGGGAUGACUUCAGGAAACUGGGGCUAAUACCGGAUAGGAGCUCCUGCUGCAUGGUGGGGGUUGGAAAGUUUCGGCGGUUGGGGAUGGACUCGCGGCUUAUCAGCUUGUUGGUGGGGUAGUGGCUUACCAAGGCUUUGACGGGUAGCCGGCCUGAGAGGGUGACCGGCCACAUGGGGACUGAGGUACGGCCCAGACUCCUACGGGAGGCAGCAGUGGGGAAUAUUGCACAAUGGGCGGAAGCCUGAUGCAGCAACGCCGCGUGCGGGAUGACGGCCUUCGGGUUGUAAACCGCUUUCGCCUGUGACGAAGCGUGAGUGACGGUAAUGGGUAAAGAAGCACCGGCUAACUACGUG
rnacentral:rRNA from 1 species